AAGCCUGGCCUCUCCACAAUCCUGGAAUGGUCUCAAAGACUCGACAAUAACCGGUGUGGUUAAGGCAAGCAAAUGUGACUUACAACAGCAAGACUGAAGACUGAUCCUAGGAGGUGGCAGAGGGCUGUUCAGUUCACAUUGGACCUAUGCGCUGCCAGCACUGCAGGUGUAGCUGAAGAGGAAUUAAAGAGCUUCUGGUCUCUCAAGCCACUCCUUCCUUAUGGCUCCAAUGUUAAAUUCUUGGGCAAAGUUCUUUAUUUCAGCCAGAAACUCAGACCUCUUAUACCUUAACAUCAUGUUCUGUACUCAUUCAGUACACAGAACUUUUAUUAGUGUUUCAUGAGAGCUUUGUCUAUGGAAUUAAUCCUGGGGAAACAAUUGGUGCUUGUGCUAUGAUUCAGAGAACAUCAGCAUGUUUCAGAAAGAAUUCCGCCCUUUGAAAUGCGAGUCCAACUGAAUUGCAAGAUCAUGAUGCAGAAUACCAUUAGAGAAGGAUAGUCUUAUUCAAAUCAAAGGAUGCAUGUUUUUUUCUCUUCUCUAGUUGCCUGUUAGGGGUGUGCAA